AACGUAGGAGACAAACGUUAUCCGGAGUUACUGGGCGUAAAGGGCGUGUAGGCGGUUUGUUAAGUCUGGCGUGAAAGCUCUCGGCUAAACCGGGAGAGGUCGUUGGAUACUGGCAAACUAGAGGACGGUAGAGGCGUGUGGAAUUCCGGGUGUAGUGGUGAAAUGCGUAGAGAUCCGGAGGAACACCGAUGGCGAAGGCAGCCCCCUGGGCCGACACUGACGCUCAUGCACGAAAGCGUGGGGAGCAAACAGG
rnacentral:rRNA from 1 species